GACGUAGGGGGCGAGCGUUGUCCGGAUUUCUUGGGCGUAAAGAGUUCGUAGGCGGCUCAGCAAGUUGGGUGUGAAACCUCCAGGCUCAACCUGGAGACGCCACCCAAGACUGCUGUGGCUAGAGUCCGGGAGGGGAGCACGGAAUACCCGGUGUAGCGGUGAAAUGCUUAGAUAUCGGGUGGAACACCAGUGGCGAAGGCGGUGCUCUGGGCCGGAACUGACGCUGAGGAACGAAAGCGUGGGUAGCAAACAGG
rnacentral:rRNA from 1 species